AUUGUGCCAGCAGCCGCGGUAAUACGUAGGUGGCAAGCGUUGUCCGGAAUUAUUGGGCGUAAAGCGCGCGCAGGCGGUUCCUUAAGUCUGAUGCGAAAGCCCACGGCUCAACCGUGGAGGGUCAUUGGAAACUGGGGAACUGGAGUACAGAAGAGGAGAGCGGAAUUCCACGUGUAGCGGUGAAAUGCGUAGAUAUGUGGAGGAACACCAGUGGCGAAGGCGGCUCUCUGGUCUGUAACUGACGCUGAGGCGCGAAAGCGUGGGGAGCGAACAGGAUUAGAUACCCUGGUAGUCCACGCCGUAAACGAUGAGUGCUAGGUGUUAGGGGGUCCAACCCUUAGUGCUGCAGUUAACGCAAUAAGCACUCCGCCUGGGGAGUACGGCCGCAAGGCUGAAACUCAAAGGAAUUGACGGGGGCCCGCACAAGCGGUGGAGCAUGUGGUUUAAUUCGAAGCAACGCGAAGAACCUUACCAGGUCUUGACAUCUUCGGAACGCCCUAGAGAUAGGGUUUUCCCUUCGGGGACCGAAUGACAGGUGGUGCAUGGUUGUCGUCAGCUCGUGUCGUGAGAUGUUGGGUUAAGUCCCGCAACGAGCGCAACCCUUGACCUUAGUUGCCAGCAUUCAGUUGGGCACUCUAAGGUGACUGCCGGUGACAAACCGGAGGAAGGUGGGGAUGGCGUCAAAUCAUCAUGCCCCUUAUGACCUGGGCUACACACGUGCUACAAUGGAUGGUACAAAGGGAAGCAAGCCCGCGAGGUGGAGCGAAUCCCAGAAAGCCAUUCUCAGUUCGGAUUGCAGGCUGCAACUCGCCUGCAUGAAGCCGGAAUCGCUAGUAAUCGUGGAUCAGCAUGCCACGGUGAAUACGUUCCCG
rnacentral:rRNA from 1 species